rnacentral:rRNA from 1 species
AUGGCUCAGAACGAACGCUGGCGGCGCGUCUUAAGCAUGCAAGUCGGACGGCAAGGGUUGUGCUUGCACAACUCCUAGAGUGGCGGACUGGUGAGUAACGCGUGGGUGACCUGCCCUCGAGAUGGGGAUAGCCAUUAGAAAUAGUGGAUAAUACCGAAUACGCUCAUGACCCUGUGGGGAUAUGAGGAAAACAGGCUACGGCCUGGCUCGAGGAUGGGCCCGCGUCCCAUUAGCUAGUUGGUGAGGUAACGGCCCACCAAGGCGACGAUGGGUAUCCGGCCUGAGAGGGUGUACGGACACAUUGGGACUGAGAUACGGCCCAAACUCCUACGGGAGGCAGCAGCUAAGAAUAUUCCGCAAUGGACGAAAGUCUGACGGAAGCGACGCCGCGUGGAUGAAGAAGGCCGGAAGGUUGUAAAGUUCUUUUCGGGAGGGGGAACAACCGUGGCAGGGAAUGGCCGCGGGAUGACGUGAAUCCCGGAAUAAGCCCCGGCUAACUACGUGCCAGCCGCCGC